rnacentral:tRNA from 1 species
GAGGGUAUAGUUCAGUGGUAGAAUGCCUGCUUAGCAUGCACAAGGUCCUGGGUUCAAUUCCCCAGGACCUCCA